CCCGCGCAGAGCGGGGAUGCUCCGCACUUCUGCAGCCAGGAGUAAUUAUGCAGCAAACACCGCUCUCAUUAUCCACCGCACUCGAUUCCUUCCUUAACAUGAACCCUGGAUUCCCUUGACAUAUUACCACUAUUCUUCCUAUGAAAACAUACGAGAAGACAGCAUGUGUUUACUGCCGUUGCAACUCAAAUAACCGCUGCGGUGGCUUUCCUUCAACUUGAACAAAAGCCGUUUGAAAAGAAGUAAAACGCACCGAGUCGUGGCGAAAACACUCUACGGCGGCACACCUGGACCGAUGUUCCCCGAAAUCUGGAGCCGCUCCACAAAAGAAUUAGGCAAAAAUCCAAACUUUGGGGUGUUGAGGGUUAUUUUUUGGUGUUUUCAUAUUAAAACAUGCGAUUCUC